rnacentral:rRNA from 1 species
AUACGUAGGGUGCGAGCGUUGUCCGGAAUUAUUGGGCGUAAAGGGCUCGUAGGCGGUCUGUCGCGUCGGGAGUGAAAACUCGGGGCUUAACUCCGAGCCUGCUUCUGAUACGGGCAGACUAGAGGUAUGCAGGGGAGAAUGGAAUUCCUGGUGUAGCGGUGAAAUGCGCAGAUAUCAGGAGGAACACCGGUGGCGAAGGCGGUUCUCUGGGCAUGACCUGACGCUGAGGAGCGAAAGUGUGGGGAGCGAACA